CUUCCGUAGGGGGAACCUGCGGAGGGAUCAUUGCUGGAACGCGCUUCGGCGCACCCAGAAACCCUUUGUGAACUUAUACCUAUUUGUUGCCUCGGCGCAGGCCGGCCUCUUCACUGAGGCCCCCUGGAAACAGGGAGCAGCCCGCCGGCGGCCAACUAAACUCUUGUUUCUUUAGUGAAUCUCUGAGUAAAAAACAUAAAUGAAUCAAAACUUUCAACAACGGAUCUCUUGGUUCUGGCAUCGAUGAAGAACGCAGCGAAAUGCGAUAAGUAAUGUGAAUUGCAGAAUUCAGUGAAUCAUCGAAUCUUUGAACGCACAUUGCGCCCUCUGGUAUUCCGGAGGGCAUGCCUGUUCGAGCGUCAUUUCAACCCUCAAGCCUGGCUUGGUGAUGGGGCACUGCCUUCUAACGAGGGCAGGCCCUGAAAUCUAGUGGCGAGCUCGCUAGGACCCCGAGCGUAGUAGUUAUAUCUCGUUCUGGAAGGCCCUGGCGGUGCCCUGCCGUUAAACCCCCAACUUCUGUAAAAUUUGACCUCGGAUCAUGCAGCUAGUCG
rnacentral:rRNA from 1 species